rnacentral:rRNA from 1 species
AGAGUUUGAUCCUGGCUCAGAUUGAACGCUGGCGGCAUGCCUUACACAUGCAAGUCGAACGGUAGCGGGCCUUCGGGUGCCGACGAGUGGCGAACGGGUGAGUAAUGUAUCGGAACGUACCUUUCAGUGGGGGAUAACGUAGCGAAAGUUACGCUAAUACCGCAUAUUCUGUGAGCAGGAAAGCAGGGGAUCGCAAGACCUUGCGCUGAUUGAGCGGCCGAUAUCAGAUUAGCUAGUUGGUGAGGUAAAGGCUCACCAAGGCGACGAUCUGUAGCGGGUCUGAGAGGAUGAUCCGCCACACUGGAACUGAGACACGGUCCAGACUCCUACGGGAGGCAGCAGUGGGGAAUUUUGGACAAUGGGGGCAACCCUGAUCCAGCCAUGCCGCGUGAGUGAAGAAGGCCUUCGGGUUGUAAAGCUCUUUCGGCCGGGGAAGAAAUCGCAUGGGUUAAAUACCCUGUGCGGAUGACGGAACCGGCAAA